rnacentral:lncRNA from 1 species
GUCAAAAGGACUCUCCAGACUUCCUCUAGGAGAAGUAUUCUGCUAACUUUAUCUUCAACAUUUGAAAGCCACUGACAAUAACAGAAGACCACUUGCGUUUAAUACAAAAGACGACUCUAUUAGAACAACACCAGGGUUAUCUUGAGGAACCCCAGGACGAGGUCCAUUCUUUCUCAAUUCUGGGAUCUGCCAACAAAUGAAGUGUCUAGGAUCUGCACACACAGUGUUGAGGUGGAGAGCCUUGGGAGGUCAGACCCCUCAGCUUGUGUCUGUGGGAGUGAGAAGAAAUGGCAUCCAGGCCACACAGGGAGGCGUGAGGUUGGAAAAGGCCUGCAGCUCAGCAACUUCCAGCUUCCAGGAACAGGAGACUCGUGAGCCUGAGCGGAUGACCUCUCCUGCUGCCACCUGGAGGGGUUUCUCAUGUUCCGGGGACAUGGUGACGUCAACCUUCACUUUUCUGAACAUCUCUGCCUGCCCCUCUGCAUUCAUCCUUCACCGUCACUUGCUUGCUGACUCUUCAUUGACGACCCCCCCCCACACUCUAGACAGAAGUAGCUAUCCUUUCCUUGUAUCCUCAGAUUACUUGCCACAUACACCCUCUGUUGUAGCAAAUAUCAAAUUACAUUUUAGUUGUCUAGGUACAGGUCAUACUUUCAGGCUGAGCUACUACUCAAAGGCAGAGGCUGCCUUUUUAAAAUUACUGUUUAUUGAGUAUUUUACAUAUGUUAUCUCAUUCAGUUCUUACAAUAAGCCUAAGAGGAAACAGAGGCUCAGAGGGGUUAAAUAUCAUGCCCCACCGUAAGGUAAAUAUCUGGCAGAAACAGGACUUGAAACUAGGUCAUGUUUUAUAUGUGCAUCUAGCACAGUGUCUUGGCAUCAGGUGUGUGUGUGGGAUGUCAAUAAAUGCUCAUCAAAUGAGUAAGUGGUUCAGUGAAUAAACUGUAUGCCACAAACCACAAGGAAGCAUUUUGGCCACCAGCUGAAAACAAGUCCUUUCAGUUACUCUCACAGCUCUGAGCCUGCUGCAGACUUUCAUUCAAACCAGACCUUAAUACCUAGGAGAAGGCUAUAUCGCAAAAUCAGAUUACUGGAAACAAUGCAUCUGACUAUCUCGCUUAAGGCCAUUUACUGAGUCCAAUAAUGUGGUUCUCAUCAUAAUCAUCAUUUAAAGCUUUAAUUUGAAGUAUUACGCUGUGUCAGAAACAGACAAACAUGAAGAAUAGAUGAAAUAAGAGAAGCCUUCCUUUCAUCAUAUGAAUUGAACUUUAUCAUGCCCUGUGUUCAGAUGAGAAGUUUUCUUUUGCUAACUAAGACCUAACUAGGGAACUCGGAACAGAACAACACACCCCUUUAUGUUAUGUUAAGUAUAACCUUCAUUGAUUACUAACUUUUGAUACCAAUAUCUUCCA